GAUGAACGCUGGCGGCGUGCCUAAUACAUGCAAGUCGAGCGAACAGACGAGGAGCUUGCUCCUCUGACGUUAGCGGCGGACGGGUGAGUAACACGUGGAUAACUUAACUAUAAGACUGGGAUAAAUUCGGGAAACCGGAGCUAAUACCGGAUAAUAUAUUGAACCGCAUGGUUCCAUAGUGAAAGACGGUUUUGCUGUCACUUAUAGAUGGAUCCGCGCCGCAUUAGCUAGUUGGUAAGGUAACGGCUUACCAAGGCAACGAUGCGUAGCCGACCUGAGAGGGUGAUCGGCCACACUGGAACUGAGACACGGUCCAGACUCCUACGGGAGGCAGCAGUAGGGAAUAUUCCGCAAUGGGCGAAAGCCUGACGGAGCAACGCCGCGUGAGUGAUGAAGGUCUUCGGAUCGUAAAACUCUGUUAUUAGGGAAGAACAAAUGUGUAAGUAACUAUGCACGUCUUGACGGUACCUAAUCAGAAAGCCACGGCUGACUACGUG
rnacentral:rRNA from 1 species